AUUGAACGCUGGCGGCAGGCCUAACACAUGCAAGUCGAGCGGAGCGGCGGACGGGUGAGUAAUGCCUAGGAAUCUGCCUGGUAGUGGGGGAUAACGUCCGGAAACGGGCGCUAAUACAGCAUCCUAUCAGAUGAGCCUAGGUCGGACUAGCUAGUUGGUGGGGUAAAGGCCUACAAAGGCGACGAUCCGUAACUGGUCUGCGAGGAUGGUCAGUCACACUGGAACUGAGACACGGGCCAGAUGCCUGCGGGAGGCAGCAGUGGGGAAUAUUGGACAAUGGGCGAAAGCCUGAAGCAGCCAUGCCGCGUGUGUGAAGAAGGUCGUCGGAUUGUAAAGCACUUUAAGUUGGGAGGCGUUACCAACAGAAUAAGCACCGGCUAACUUCGGGCCAGCAGCCGCGGUAAUUC
rnacentral:rRNA from 1 species